rnacentral:rRNA from 1 species
AUGGACGAAGAAUUUGAUGAGUCCGUCGAUUAUGAUGCAAUGUUUGUUGGAGAACAUGUUGAAAUUACGGAUGAAGAGGAAGCUGCGGAUGAAGAAGAUGAAGAGGAAGAUGGGGAUGAGGAUGAGGAUGGAGAGGAAGAUGGGGAUGAGGAUGAAGAGGAAGAUGGGGCUGAGGAAGGACAUGCAGUAGGUUCCAAGAGAAAGCUCACAUCAAUUGUUUGGGUUGAUUUCAAGAAAGUGAAGGUCCGUGGGAGAUGGAAGGCACAAUGUCUUCAUUGUAAGAAGAAACUAGGAGGGGAAUCAAAGAAUGGGACAAAGCAUCUUCAUGUUCAUUUGGCGGCUUGUACUAUGAAGAAGGUCCAUAGCAAUGGUAAAACAUUGAGCCAAUCUUCUUUGAGGUUCAGUUCUAGUAGCCAUCGAAAAGUUUCGGUGGAGAACUAUACUUUUAACCAAGUUUUUGCUAGAAAGAUGCUUGCUUCCAUGAUUGUGCUGCAUGAGUACCCCUUAUCCAUAGUUGAUCAUAUGGGGUUUCGAAGAUUUGUUAGUGCAUUGCAACCCUUAUUUACUAUGGUGACAAGAAACACUAUUAGGAAGGAUAUUCUGGACGCUUACAAAGUUGAAACGAAGAAGGCUAUCGAGUACAUGGCUGCAAAUCGAUCAAGAGUGGCUAUCACUACUGAUUUAUGGACAGCUGACAAUCAAAAGAAAGGAUACAUGGCAAUCACGGGCCAUUUCAUUGAUGACUCUUGGAAACUUAGGAGUGUUAUCAUGAGGUUUAUUUAUGUGCCAGCUCCUCACACCGCCGAAGUUAUAGCUGAAGAACUUCAUGAAUCAUUGAUAUCUUGGAAUCUUGAUGAGAAGCUAUCAACGGUGACUGUUGACAAUUGUUCUUCAAAUGACAAGACAAUUGACUUGUUGGUGAAGAGGAUAGGGAAGGACAAGCUCAUGUUGCAAGGUACCUUGACUCACAUGCGUUGUUGUGCCCACAUUCUGAAUUUAAUUGUCAAAGAUGGCUUAGAUGCUAUGAAACCAGCAAUUGAAAAGAUUAGAGAUAGUGUAGCUUUUUGGAUUGCCUCACCAAAAUGA